ACAAAAACAAAAAAGAGAGAAAAAAAAAAGUCUGAGCCCCUCUGCUGACUUUACGGAAAAUGGUCGUUAUAAUCUCAGUGAGAUCGAUCGCACCAGAUCCCACCCUCUCUCUUACAUUUCAAGCGCAGAAUCUCUGCUCUUCACCUGGCUCGCUGUUCUUCCAAUGGAUCUUUCUCUCUCUUCGUUUGCUCGCUCUUCCAUUCCACCUCCAUUGAAAUCCUGCAAUCUGACUUCACUCUCCAAUUUCCCCAAUUACAGUUUCAAAUCCAGGAAUUUUUCCCUCACGCCGUUGAUUUCGCGCCAAAAUCGGCGGAUCAGAGCUCAAUAUUCAUGUAAUUCCGGCAGUGGCGGUGGAGGUGGAGGUGAUGAUGAUGGUUUUGUUGUGGAUGAAGUUCCGCACUUGACGAAUUUUCUGCCUGAUUUGCCGUCAUACCCAAACCCAUUGCAACAGAACUUAGCUUAUACAAUAGUCAAGAAAAAUUUUGUUAGCCCAGAAGACGUGGUAGCACAAAAAGUAGGUGACUUUUGUUUUUUGUUUCUUUUAUGUUUUUCUUUUUGUGUUCCUCCUUUACUACUUACUAUGUUUUUUCUUCAGAUUGUUGUUCAAAAGGGAAGUCCUAGAGGAGUUCAUUUUCGGCGAGCAGGGCCUCGAGAAAAGGUUUAUUUCAAGUCAGAGGAAGUACGUGCUUGUAUAGUGACAUGUGGAGGAUUGUGCCCCGGAAUCAACACAGUGAUUCGGGAGAUAGUAUGUGGCUUGAAUUAUAUGUAUGGUGUUCAUGAUAUACUUGGGAUUGAGGGAGGAUACAGAGGCUUUUACUCCAAAAAUACCAUUCAGUUGACACCUAAAGUUGUCAACGAUAUCCAUAAACGUGGUGGCACCUUUCUUCGUACUUCCCGAGGGGGUCAUGAUACCGACAAGAUAGUUGAUAAUAUUCAGGACCGGGGUAUAAAUCAGGUGUACAUUAUUGGAGGUGAUGGUACUCAAAAAGGAGCAGCAUUAAUUUACAAGGAAGUAGAGAAACGUGGUCUUCAAGUGGCAGUUGCAGGAAUCCCUAAGACAAUCGACAAUGACAUUGCUGUGAUAGACAAGUCUUUUGGUUUUGAUACUGCUGUUGAGGAAGCUCAGAGAGCAAUCAAUGCUGCACAUGUGGAAGUUGAAAGUGUAGAAAAUGGAGUUGGAAUUGUAAAACUUAUGGGCCGAUAUAGCGGGUUCAUUGCCAUGUUUGCAACUUUGGCGAGCAGAGAUGUGGAUUGUUGCUUGAUUCCAGAGUCUCCAUUCUAUCUUGAAGGCCAGGGUGGGCUUUUUGAAUUUAUUGAACAGCGGCUCAAAGAAAAUGGGCACGUAGUUAUUGUGUUGGCAGAAGGAGCAGGGCAGGAAUACGUUGCUCAGAGCAUGCAUGCAGUUAGUGAGAAAGAUGCCUCAGGGAACAGGCUACUUCUAGAUGUUGGUCUUUGGCUAUCUCAAAAGAUCAAGGAUCAUUUCACAAAGGUACAGAAGAUGGCAGUAAAUAUGAAAUAUAUAGAUCCAACAUACAUGAUCCGAGCUAUUCCAAGUAAUGCAUCAGACAAUAUCUACUGCACCCUCCUUGCACAUAGUGCUGUACAUGGGGCCAUGGCAGGGUACACUGGCUUCACGAUUGGACCUGUAAGCAGCCGACAUGCUUAUAUUCCUAUUGAUCGCGUAACUGAGACUACAAAGACCAUCAAGUUGACGGAUCGUAUGUGGGCGAGACUUCUUUCAUCAACGAACCAACCUAGUUUCUUAAAAGGGAGCCCAGUGAUGCAAGAAAGAGUUGAUAAAGAGACCAUUGAAAUGAUUGACAACAUGAAGAUUACUUCUAUAUAGAUUCCACAUAUGUAAGCAAUGGAAUUCCCAAAUUCAAUGGAUCAACACUUGAUCUUUGUUAUCUCCACGAUGAAAGCUUUUCGGGCUCACAGCAGUGAAGAGGACAAAUACAGUUCAACUCCCGAACAAACAAAUGGAUUCCAAGCCUGGAAUAAAUAUAUACAGGUGUCCUUAAACAAGAAGCUACAAAUGACCAGGUGGGGUGACGCGGUGGGCUUGCAAGGAAGGAUAUUGGGUUUGUGGCAUGUAAAGCCCAUUGUGAUUUUGAAAACCAAUAAUUGACCGGUUCGCUGGGAAUCGAGCGGUCUGUCCGGUUCGACGGUCUGACUGUCGAUUCAAAAUCGAUUCAAUUGUUAUAAGGUACAAUACUUCGGACCAGACCGAAAAGACUGUGGAUUGGACCAGUCGAUUCAGUCUAAUUUGAUACUAGUUUGAGACUUUCUCCGGUUAACACUUGUUUGGUCAAAAAGGCCUUAAUUGCUUGAUAUUUUGGAGGUCGAGAGGGUAACCAUAGAAUAUGACAAGGAACAGAUACAAUAAGAUUAACUCAAGGCCUACAAGAUAUGGCACAAGUUUACAUCACUUGAGACAAUCUAACGAAUAAGCCCAUAUGCUUUUGAUGUUUAUCCUCAAACAAGUUGUGUGUGGUAGGCCCAAAAGUGGAAGAGAUGGAAAACAAAGUCAUUGCAACUAGUUCCAUGGGGUCCCAUUGCAACUAUUAUUCAUUUCUUUUCUUUUCUUUUUUUUUCUUUGAUAUUUUCUACUUUUUUUUUUUAAUUCAUUUUCAACCUUUUUGUGAUUAUAAUAUCUUUUAUGUUUGUAAUACUUUCAUGAUACUAGUGAUA